UCGAUUCAAAAAGGAUGUGCUGGCCGCAAGGCAUAAGUGCACUCCGAAUCUCACAUCUCCCUGUGCACUUACUGUGGGCGGAAAUGGGGCUUUUGUCCCGAUUUGCUCAUGUUUUUACACACUCUUAUCAUAUAUCAUGAAUGUAUACAAAGUAGGCUUUGUUUCAAAGCUGAAAAUAAAACAAUA
rnacentral:misc_RNA from 1 species